rnacentral:rRNA from 1 species
AGAGUUUGAUCCUGGCUCAGAACGAACGCUGGCGGCAUGCCUAACACAUGCAAGUCGAACGAACCCUUCGGGGUUAGUGGCGCACGGGUGCGUAACGCGUAGGUAAUCUACCCUUAUACCUGGGAUAACAUUGGGAAACUGGUGCUAAUACCGGAUACACUUCUUUGCUGCGGGGCAAAGGAGGAAAGGUGACCUCUUCAUGAAAGUUACCGUACAGGGAUGAGCCUGCGUACCAUUAGCUAGUAGGCGGGGUAACGGCCCACCUAGGCAACGAUGGUUAGCGGGUCUGAGAGGAUGAUCCGCCACACUGGAACUGGAACACGGACCAGACUCCUACGGGAGGCAGCAGUGAGGAAUAUUGCGCAAUGGGGGAAACCCUGACGCAGCGACGCCGCGUGAGUGAGGAAGGCCUUCGGGUCGUAAAGCUCUGUCAGAAGGGAAGAAGUGUUAUACGGUUAAUACCCGUAUAAUUUGACGGUACCUUCAGAGGAAGCACCGGCUAACUCCGUGCCAGCAGCCGCGGUAAUACGGAGGGUGCGAGCGUUGUUCGGAAUUACUGGGCGUAAAGGGCGCGUAGGCGGCUUUAUAAGUCAGAUGUGAAAGCCCACGGCUUAACUGUGGAAGUGCAUUUGAAACUGUGAAGCUUGAGUAUCGGAGGGGAGUGUGGAAUUCCCGGUGUAGAGGUGAAAUUCGUAGAGAUCGGGAGGAACACCGGUGGCGAAGGCGACACUCUGGACGAAUACUGACGCUGAGGCGCGAAAGCGUGGGGAGCAAACAGGAUUAGAUACCCUGGUAGUCCACGCCGUAAACGAUGUGAACUAGAGGUAGGUGGUGUUGAUCCCAUCUGUCUCGCAGCUAACGCAUUAAGUUCACCGCCUGGGGAGUACGGUCGCAAGAUUAAAACUCAAAGGAAUUGACGG